rnacentral:rRNA from 1 species
UUUUUCAAGUAUCCAAUGGAGGGCAAGUNUGGUGCCAGCAGCCGCGGUAAUUCCAGCUCCAAAAGCGUAUAUUAAAGUUGUUGCAGUUAAAAAGCUCGUAGUUGAAAUUGAGGUACAGAAAAAUUUGAAAUCUUUGAUUGAUAAUUGAUCGGACCUUCGACGUCGCGUAUAUUUUUUUGGUACUUUACUGUAUCGGAAAAAUAACCGGCAAGUUUACUUUGAAAAAAUUAGAGUGCUUAAAGCAGGCUUAUGCUUGUAUAUUGUUGCAUGGAAUAAUAAAAUAUGACUUCGGUUUUAUUUUGUUGGUUUUCGAAACUGAAGUAAUGAUUAAAAGAGACUGCCGGGGGCAUAUGUAUGCUGGUGUUAGAGGUGAAAUUCUUAGAUCAUCGGCAGACAAACUACUGCGAAAGCAUUUGCCAAGAAUGUUUUCAUUAAUCAAGAACGAAAGUCAGAGGAUCGAAGACGAUCAGAUACCGUCCUAGUUCUGACCAUAAACUAUGCCAACUGACAGUUAGCUAAGGUAUAUAAAUUUCCUUGCUAGAAGUCACCGGGAAACCAAAGUCUAUGGGUUCCGGGGGAAGUAUGGUUGCAAAGCUGAAACUUAAAGGAAUUGACGGAAGGGCACCACAAGGAGUGGAGCCUGCGGCUUAAUUUGACUCAACACGGGAAAUCUCACCCGGUCCGGACACUGUGAGGAUUGACAGAUUGAUAGCUCUUUCUUGAUUCGGUGGGUGGUGGUGCAUGGCCGUUCUUAGUUGGUGGAGCGAUUUGUCUGGUUAAUUCCGAUAACGAACGAGACUCGAGCCUGCUAAAUAGUAUGUCUGUGUUAAAUCGCAGAUAAUGACUUCUUAGAGGAAUUAAUAGCGUUUAGCUAAAUGAAAAUGAGCAAUAACAGGUCUGUGAUGCCCUUAGAUGUCCGGGGCCGCACGCGCGCUACAAUGUCAGUAACAACGAGUUUUAUUCCUAACUAGAAAUGGUAGGGUAAUCUGUUGAAUCACUGUCGUAUCAGGAAUAGUGGUUUGAAAUUUUUCCACUUGAACGAGGAAUUCCUAGUAAGCGCAAGUCACUAACUUGCGCUGAUUACGUCCCUGCCCUUUGUACACACCGCCCGUCGCUACUACCGAUUGAAUGGUUUAGUGAGAUUGUUGGAUUCUAAUCUAAUUAAUGGUAACAUUUCU